rnacentral:rRNA from 1 species
GACAGAGGUGCCGAGCGUUAGGCGGAAUCACUGGGCUUAAAGCGUGUGUAGGCGGGCGGCGUAAGUACCUUGUGAAAUCCCACGGCUCAACCGUGGAACUGCUCGGUAUACGUGCGUCGCUUGAGCCAGCUAGGGGGCGACCGGAACAAACGGUGGAGCGGUGAAAUGCGUAGAUAUCGUUUGGAACGCCGAUGGUGAAAACAGGUCGCUGGGGCUGUGGCUGACGCUGAGACACGAAAGCCAGGGGAGCGAACGGG